rnacentral:rRNA from 1 species
GAUAAACGCUGGCGGCGUGCCUAAUACAUGCAAGUCGUGCGGUAAGGCCCCUUCGGGGGUACACGAGCGGCGGACGGCAGAGUAACGCGUAGGAACGUACCCCAAAGUGAGGGAUAACUGCUCGAAAGAGUAGCUAAUACCGCAUAUGAUCUUCGGAUUAAAGCAGCAAUGCGCUUUGGGAACGGCCUGCGUCCGAUUAGCUAGUUGGUAGAGUAAUAGCCUACCAAGGCGACGAUCGGUAGCUGGUCUGAGAGGAUGAUCAGCCUGACUGGAACUGAGACACGGUCCAGACUCCUACGGGAGGCAGCAGUAGGGAAUUUUCCACAAUGGGCGAAAGCCUGAUGGAGCAACGCCGCGUGCAGGAUGAAGGCCUUCGGGUUGUAAAGAUCUUUCAGGUGGGAAGAUAAUGACUGUACCACCAGAAGAAGCCCCGGCUAACUCCGUGCCAGCAGCCGCCGUAA